CGUAAAGCUGUGUUGUAAGAGAAGAACGGGUGUGAGAGUGGAAAGUUCACACUGUGACGGUAUCUUACCGGAAAGGGACGGCUAACUACGUGCCAGCAGCCGCGGUAAUACGUAGGUCCCGAGCGUUGUCCGGAUUUAUUGGGCGUAAAGCGAGCGCAGGCGGUUAGAUAAGUCUGAAGUUAAAGGCUGUGGCUUAACCAUAGUACGCUUUGGAAACUGUUUAACUUGAGUGCAGAAGGGGAGAGUGGAAUUCCAUGUGUAGCGGUGAAAUGCGUAGAUAUAUGGAGGAACACCGGUGGCGAAAGCGGCUCUCUGGUCUGUAACUGACGCUGAGGCUCGAAAGCGUGGGGAGCGAACAGG
rnacentral:rRNA from 1 species